UUCAGUAGGACUACCCGCUGAACUUAAGCAUAUCAUAAGCGGAGGA
rnacentral:rRNA from 1 species